rnacentral:rRNA from 1 species
GAUCUUUCGGGGUGGAGUGGCGGACGGGUGAGUAUCGCGUAGGGAUCUAUCCACGGUGGGGGGAUAACAUCGGGAAACUGGUGCUAAUACCGCAUGAUACCUGAGGGUCAAAGGCGCAAGUCGCCUGUGGAGGAGCCCUGCGUUCGAUUAGCUUGUUGGUGGGGGUAAAGGCCUACCAAGGCGAUGAUCGAUAGCUGGUCUGAGAGGAUGAUCAGCCACACUGGGACUGAGACACGGCCCAG